AACGGACGCUGGCGGCAUGCCUAACACAUGCAAGUCGAACGAAGCCUUCGGGCUUAGUGGCGCACGGGUGCGUAACGCGUGGGAAUCUGCCUCUUGCUUCGGAAUAACAGUGGGAAACUACUGCUAAUACCGGAUGAUGUCUUCGGACCAAAGAUUUAUCGGCAAGCGAUGAGCCCGCGUAGGAUUAGGUAGUUGGUGGGGUAAAGGCCUACCAAGCCGACGAUCCUUAGCUGGUCUGAGAGGAUGAUCAGCCACACUGGGACUGAGACACGGCCCAGCCUCCUACGGGAGGCAGCAGUGGGGAAUAUUGGACAAUGGGGGCAACCCUGAUCCAGCAAUGCCGCGUGAGUGAUGAAGGCCUUAGGGUUGUAAAGCUCUUUCACCAGGGAUGAUAAUGACAGUACCUGGAGAAUAAGCUCCGGCUAACUCCGUGCCAGCCGCCGCGGUAACAC
rnacentral:rRNA from 1 species